rnacentral:rRNA from 1 species
GACGAACGCUGGCGGCGUGCUUAACACAUGCAAGUCGAGCGGAAAGGCCAUUUCGGUGGUACUCGAGCGGCGAACGGGUGAGUAACACGUGAGUAAUCUGCCCUGGACUUCGGGAUAGCUUCGGGAAACCGAGAUUAAUACCGGAUAUGACCAGCUUUCGCAUGUUUGUUGGUGGAAAGUUUUUUCGGUUCAGGAUGUGCUCGCGGCCUAUCAGCUUGAUGGUGGGGUAAUGGCCUACCAUGGCUUUGACGGGUAGCCGGCCUGAGAGGGUGACCGGUCACACUGGGACUGAGACACGGCCCAGACUCCUACGGGAGGCAGCAGUGGGGAAUAUUGGACAAUGGGCGGAAGCCUGAUCCAGCAACGCCGCGUGAGGGAUGACGGCCUUCGGGUUGUAAACCUCUUUCGCCUAUGACGAAGGCUCUGCUUUUUGUGGGGUUGACGGUAGUGGGAUAAGAAGCACCGGCCAACUACGUGCCAGCCGCCGCCGUAACAC